GAUGAACGCUGGCGGCGUGCCUAAUACAUGCAAGUCGAGCGGCAGCGAGUUUCUCACUGACGUGAGGAAGCAAUUUACAAUUUUCAAUUUUCAAUUUUCAGAAAAUGAUCAAUUUUCAAUUUUCAGACUUAGCUCCCAGGAGCUGUGUGUUUGAAAAUUGAUGUUUGAAAAUUUUUUGAAAAUUGAAAUUUGGUAUCUGUAAAUUGAACUUCAUCACGUGAGUGAGGAAUGUCGGCGAGCGGCGGACGGGUGAGUAACGCGUAGGAAUGUACCCCAAAGUGAGGGAUAAGCACCGGAAACGGUGUCUAAUACCGCAUGUGCUCUAAGGGUAAAGCUUUAUGCGCUUUGGGAACAGCCUGCGUCUGAUUAGCUAGUUGGUGAGGUAAAGCUUACCAAGGCGACGAUCAGUAGCUGGUUUGAGAGGAUGAUCAGCCACACUGGAACUGAGACACGGUCCAGACUCCUACGGGA
rnacentral:rRNA from 1 species